CAUGGUUAAUACAUAAUGAAAAACUUCUCUUUACCCAGUAUACAAAACAGGUCACUUUUGUUUCAAUAUUUCCCUCUCUUUUGCCCAUUUUCAUUAAUUCUUACUCAACAAUUCUCUAUCCAUUCCAACUUCCAAGCGCCGAACCUGUUCUUCACCAUCACAUCUCCAUUCUCUCUCCAUUCCACAGAUUUUGAACAACCAUGUCUAGACCACCUAUCCUGAUUUCCGAAUUGAAACCCGAUCAAAAUGUGUGGAAGAUAGCAAUUUGUGUUGUCGAUCUAUGGGACGUAAGGGAACGCAAUGGUCAGCAACACGUUGAAGCCAUACUUCAAGAUUCAGAGGGUGAUCAGAUCCACCGCUCUCGUGACUUUGAGAUUUGGAAAAAGACAUUGCAGGAAAUGCAAACCUAUAUAGUUUAUAAUGGUGAAACAAUGAUCAAUGAAAUGCCGUGUAAAGUUUGUGAUAACAAAUACAAGGUGUUCUUUAAUCGUGCGACAACUGAAUUGAUUGAAACUGAAUUGUAUGUAAUUUGUAUAUAGGUUGCUUUGUCAAAAAGCUAUUUCCAUUGUCGGAUCUACCGGUUCAUUUUUAACAUAUAUCUGGAGUUCUUCACAUCAGUAAGCUGCUUGUGAUCACUAAGCUGCUGAAGAUGGGCCUGGGAUAAUAGCAUGAUGUGACACUAUGCUGGAAAAACAUGUAUGGAUGCUUUCUUGUAUGCUUUAGUAAAGUUUAGAAGCGUAAGUCAUUCUAUUUUCUAUAUAUAUCCUGCUACCAGUGUGUCGCUUGUGCUUCCUUACAGAUUUUGUCUUGUGGUUCAUAUAUCUGUCACCUUUUUUUUAUCUGGUAUUAUAAUGUGAGUUAUAUUGUAUUUUUAUAAUGUGUUCUCAAAGUUCUAUGCAAUAUUUGUAUUCAAUGAUGGAACAGAUUUGUCAGCCACUCAACUGUAACAGAUUUGUCAAGGAGUCGUGGAUGGCAGAGGUUACUUUUUCCUUCAAUGAUUUGAAUGUGUUGAGUUUGUUAGUAUUCUUGAGCUUCGUUUUUGGACAGUUCGAUCUUCAAAGAGCUUGUGAAAAUCUCAUGCAAGGAAAUAAAGGUAUUGAUAAAUUCAUGACACACAAAUUGCAAUUUCAGAACACAAACUUGUAAUUUGAUCAUUUUGUUCCAUAGGGAUCUACGUGUACCUUCACAGAGUCUAUAUUACACAAUUGUGGUUUUUGUACUGGAUUUUUUACGUCUCCUCACUUCAUUGAUAUCCGAGAAAGAUUCCGUUUAGAUGGGUCAGUGAUUCAGAUUCAUUUGUUGCAGCGUUACUUCAGUUAUUUGAUUAUUUAGCAUUAUUUGUUAAUUGAUCCUUUGCAUUUUUUGAGAGUCAAAAUUAUUGUUUUUUCUUUCUACCCGUAGUGCAGUUCAAUUUUCUUCUGAGUAGAAUUUUUCUGAACUAAGCAAGUUCAAAUUUUAAGUAGAACUAUUUUCAGUGUGCAGAGUUCUAUAUUAUUGAUGAACCAUAUCUUGCCACUUCAUAUACAUCUACACAUUGGCAAUGAUAUUUAACCUAAAUAUACAGUAUGCAAAAAGAAGUCCAAUAUUGAUGAUGAGAUGAUAAUAGAUGUAAGUAUUAUCAAGUAGCAUAUUUUUUUCACUAACCGCUAUGGCCAAUUUGUGAAGGAUGAUAGCACCGCGGCGUUAUAUACGACUUAAAAUGGAAGAGGUUCCAAACUUUUUAUCCUUACAGGUUCCAAUGCAACAAGUGAACAUUAUCAACCAUUCAGAUUUGCAGGUUUUGAUCUAUUAAGUCUAUUGGAGUUGUAAAACUUAAUGUUACUAAAAAAAAUUUUGUGGGUUCCUUAUAUUGUCAUUGUUUAUUCUGUUGUUAUACUUAGGAUGGUUUUGGUAAAGUUUGGAACCAUAGCUUAUUGGCAAAGAUUAUUGACGAAUAAAUAACCAGUCAUUGCAUUUAUAUGGUUAUAUACUGUUUCUAAACGUAGUUUUAGUCACGAAGCUUUCAUUUGUGCUGUCAGAAUCAUCUUUUGACAGAUUCUUAUUAUUACUCUUUACCCCAGAUUAUUACUUUUGACAAAUAAGGUGUCUCGGGACAUUGUAAUCAUCGUGACGUGCAUUAUGGAGUAUGGUAAUCACAUCAUUUAGCUAUUUAGAAUAUAAUAAAUCCAGUUGAUCAAUCAUAUCAUUUUUUUCAUUCUUAUGCUGCUACCAUACUACUAACCUGAAAAAAACUCCAUGUUGUAAUGUAAGCAGCAAGUUACUAUAUGAUACGUCAAGAGGAGAUAUGGAAGUUUGAGAGCUUCAUCAGAGGAGAUAGUGUAACUCAUUGUCGUCGUCGUGGUUACAUUUAGUAUGCCACACACGAUUUCAAUGGAUUGUGCGAACUCAAAGAAAGCGAUUGAAAGGAGAGUGACUGAGUUAAGUAGAAUGAGUCAGAAUAAUUCCUUGAGUUUCAGGUUUAGAAACUUGGAUAAGUCUAUUUCAAUGAUUGGUAAGAUGGUAUUGAAAUAAAUACUGUUUGUAUGCUUGACUAUGAAUUCUUGUCUUUUCCUAUUUUUAUUUAAACAUGUAACUCAAGAAUAAUUUUGAAGAAGUAUUUGAAACUUGGAGUCUCUAUUACCGUGGAUGUGAAAACUGGGGAUAAAAAGGCCAUGGGACGGAGAUGUCAGACUCAUUGUCAUCUUGCACAUUAUAUUGUUGCUCUAUUUAGGAGCCAUGAUGAAAGCACAAGCGGUGGUUUGGAUCGCGUCGGUAUCUCAUCUGCUGUAUGUUUGCUGUGGUAUUGUCGCGACAAUGUUUACUGGGCAGGCUAUUCAACUAUGGCAUUGGAAUUCACCUGCUAGAGUCAAAUAAAGUCGCAGUGAAAAAAGAGAGAUCAUAUGUCUUUCAACUUACUGCAUGAUAACAAUCAAGGUGACUAUGGCUUAAAGUUGGAGAAGCUCGGUGGAAGUAUUGCAGUUCAAUUUUUUAGAAUGGGACCCCUUUAUGACAAAAACCCCACGCUGGCUGAAACAAAGGCAAAUGGGAAAUAAAGUCAACCUACAAAACGUUAAAUACCAAGGGUGGAGAGGUUGUAUCCAUGUAGGCAAACUGAUAAAAACAAAUUGUAACAGAACCGAAGUAACCACAAGUUAAGUUGGAAUUGUGUCAGUGAUUGGACAGGUCACUGUAUUGAUAAGUGAGUAACAGGUCUGAAUAACUUUCACCAAGAUUAAUUGUUGUACUUGCAAAGUAUGAAAAGAUACAGGAAAACCUUAUUUGCAUUAGCACGGACCUCGAAGCCAGGCUGUAGGUUACUUUAGAAGUAGGAUGUGUUGAAUAAAGUCACUGUUAUUAUGGAAGAAAGUAGUAUUUGUAGGAUGUGUUGAAGAAAGUUGAUAUUAUUAAGCAAGAAAGUUGAUAUUACUAUUAAGCAAGAAAGUAGUACUUGUCAGGUUUAGAAGUACAUUUAAACUGCAAAGCAACUUUUUGAUAGUAUAAAAAUCAUAAUUUUUAGGUGUAUAAGGUACAUAAGUAAAUCAAUAAAGGUACAUACAUAUCAGG